rnacentral:rRNA from 1 species
GAUGAACGCUGGCGGCGUGCCUAAUACAUGCAAGUCGAGCGAACGGACGAGAAGCUUGCUUCUCUGAUGUUAGCGGCGGACGGGUGAGUAACACGUGGAUAACCUACCUAUAAGACUGGGAUAACUUCGGGAAACCGUAGCUAAUACCGGAUAAUAUUUUGAACCGCAUGGUUCAAAAGUGAAAGACGGUCUUGCUGUCACUUAUAGAUGGAUCCGCGCUGCAUUAGCUAGUUGGUAAGGUAACGGCUUACCAAGGCAACGAUGCAUAGCCGACCUGAGAGGGUGAUCGGCCACCCUGGAACUGAGACACGGUCCAGGCGCCUACGGGAGGCAGCAGUAGGGUACCGGACGCAAUGGGCGGAAGCCUGACGGAGCGACGCGGCGUGAGUGAUGGAGGUCUUCGGUUCGUAAAGAUCUGUUAUGGGUUGAGAACAUAUGUGUAAGUAACUGUGCACAUCUUGACGGUACCUAAUCAGAAAGCCACGGCUAACUACGUG